rnacentral:lncRNA from 1 species
CACAUCCGAAAGUGAAGACAGCGAUUCGGACUUUGAAUCGAACUUGUUUAAAACAAUGGCUUUGAAUUCUCCAUCCACAUCAAGUGCAAAAUCAAUAAAGGACAAGAAAGCAGACGAGUCCCUUAUCUCAAAUUUGGCCCAAAACUUCAAGUCAGAAGAUUUAUUCUAUGUGAAAGGCUGCCAGUUCUCUGUGGAGUUGAAGGAGGAUAAGAAGCCAGAAGUAAUCUUGCUAGAAGAGGAUGGCUCAUACCGAUCUGUCAGUAUGGUAGAAUUUCAACCCCUAGUUGCUGCCGUGCUUGAGGAGUUCAGACUAAAACACGUGCAUCAUCACUUUGAUGAAAUAGAUGAACAGGUAAUUGUUGACUUAAGAGCGGAUGCAGACAUUGCGAUAGAAAUACUUGCUCUACUCUUAUCAAGGAAAGAAGCAGGUGCAAUAUCUUCGGAAAUUGGAGAGAAGUUUGGAACCUCAGAUCGUGUUGCUUCUAUCAUACAAACUCUGGUAAGAAGUCAUGCCAUCGUUCGAACAGGCACGAAUAGAAUCCACUUCAUCCAUCAUAAGCAUGCUAGAUCAUGGUUUGUCCACUCAUUCCAAAUGGUUAGGUUGGAUAGAGAGAAACUUGACGUCGAUGUUGUUACGGAUGUCGUGGCUCAAAAAAAUGAAUCUGACCUCAUCAAAGUGAUAGAUGUUACUAAUAAGGAGCCUGGCAUCCAACAUUCUUCAAGGAUGGAAGUUGACGAACCAGUGAUAACUUCUGAUGACAAGGAGAAAAAUGAGCCCAUGGAUAGUGCAAGCUCGAGUCAGAUGGAAAAUAAUGAACAAACUGCAACAGUCUCUACUUCGAAACGCAGAGAUCUGCCGCCUAGAAGAGUAGGGAAAUUGAUCAGUUCACAGCCAGAAAAUUUGCAGAAGAUUAAAACUUUGACCGAUAAUGAGAAAAAACAUAUUCAAAUUUUGAUACGGCCCUGGAUAAAACCUGACGGAGUCUCAAUCGACGUGUGCUGGAUCGAUUCUUGGGGGCUGUACUGAGUCGAGCAUUGGAGAGACCUUUCUGCUCCUUACGAUUGCUGCAAGAAAAGUUUGUGCCUCUUUUAGAACCAGCUUACACUUUGAGCUAAUAGAGGUAAGACACCACCUUUUUAUCUUUCAGUGUGUUCCUGAUUUGAUCGAACUGUGUUUUUGAGACAGCUGUAGGUUUAAUCCUAGUAUGUAUUGUACAUUAAUUAUAUAUUUAAUACAUUCCUCCUUUUACCUAUCUCUCCGUCUAAUCAGUCAAAUUGGUUAUCCGCAUGAUUUAAGUCCACAGGAUGUAUAUUGGUCUGGAAAUUAGGAAAAGGUUUGGAAAUUUGUCUCGAAGAUUCAGAAAAAAAUUUAAGACUUUGCAUUUUAAUCUAUAAUAGGAAAAUGAAUACUUAGUAAAUAUAAAUACAGGUUGAGAUAAUUUAAGGCACUGGUAGACUUUUAGGUGAAGAUAACCUACGUCCUUGUAGCAUCUACUAUACUUUGACGUUUAUAUUGCAUGAGUAUGGUAAAUAAUAUCAGAACUUUGAUAACCUGUAUCCAAACACCUGAGUCCAAAACCAGUCUAUCUAACAUACUUUUCUCUCUCUAUGUGACUCUGUGCAAUGGAUUUCUUGGAGCAAAGAGUAAGACGCAUGCAUUGCAAAAUUUGAGAAAAUCCCCAUAAAAUGUAACUAUUCUCUUUCUCUAUGAUAAAAGUUAAGGAAUCAAUAAUCGAUCCGCAAACUUGUUUAUUUUAACAGUAUUAUUUGAUUACGUAUAAUCAUAUUGAAAAUUAUUUGACAGUAAGUUCCUAAAAACUCCACAUCUUAUGAUUUUUCUGAAGUUCUAAUUUAUGUCUGUGUUUGUUUUUUUUUUUUUUUUUUUUUCUAUUUCAGUUGUUAGCCAAGAUUAAGUGUAUCAAUUUAAAAGCCAAAGUCGUCUCAGGGAAAGUAAAUCUGUUCUCUUCAGGUUCAAAUCUGUUAAACUAGGUAAGCAUGGAAAUCUAUUUUGAACUUUAUCCUUUGGCAAUUUUUGUUUGUUUGUUUGUAAUGAGACAGAUUAAUCUGUAUCAACAUUUAGUUCACAUAAGUGAAAGCUAAGACUCAUGAGAGCUUUUUUUCUGUUUUUAUUGAAAUCAUAUCAAAUCAUCAGUGAGAAUGUUUUCUAUGAUAUCACCAGUAGCAUGAAAAACUUAAAAUAACUGAAAAAAUGAGCCCAACUUAACGGACUGAUGACUCAAUAUGCUAAAAAGAUCAGCAAAAUUGGAUGCAUUUAUGCUAAAAUAAUCUAUGUCUAUAGGGUUCAUGCGCAACAUAGUUCUUUUACCAUAAAUACGUUCAGUUGAGAACUUGGGUGUAAAAAGGGCACCUCUCUGUGCUGUAUUUUAUGCCGCUAUCAAUUUCACUUUUUUUUUCUUCUUUCUUUUUUUUAAUUUCUUAGGAGACUACUACAUCAUUAUGAUUUGUGCUUAAGAUAUCGUCAAAUUAUGAAAAAUAUUCAAUUCAAAUUCUUUGCGAUCUAUUUUUUUUUUUCUUGUUAAGAGUGAAAACGUAAAUUAAAAUUUUAAACUCUGAAACUAAGAAGUCAUUUUUCGCACUUAAAACCAUUAUAAACAAAUGACUGUUACCAUCGUAAUGAUGUAUAUAGGCCAUCAAUGCAAGAAUGAUAAAAGAGUAUCAUUGACCUAACUGUUGAUGAUGAAUAAUUCUUCCCUGAUUUUGAAAUCCUGACCUUUGAGUCAUUGCAAAAUAAUUGUGCUUUGAGGAAAACAACUUCACAGUUUAAAAAUUGUAUUCAUUUAAUUGCUAAUACAAAGUUUGAGCUACAUCUUUUAAGCUAAAAAUUAAGUUUUUUGGCCAAUUUCCCUGCAAAGUUUACUUCAAAACAAUUUUUUCCCCUAAGAUUCUUGAUUCCUCAAUUUUUUCAAGAAUAUCAUGUAUCUCUUUCAUUCAUCAGAUAUUUUAAUUGAAGGGCUUGGAAGACAAGGCGCAUAAGUGCAGUUUUAGAAAUUUGAGACUAGAGAUUAGAGCCCAACCACCUCAACUGCGUGCCAUAGCUCAUCAUGAUUGUAUUUCAACAUGUGAGAUACAAAAAAUCGACUGGACCUUACUCAAAGCACGGUAGAUAAAACAGGAAGGAAAGGCGAAAGGGAAAACAGAAAUUCGGACCAUUUUGUGUUUUUCCGUGUUGGAAAAGGAAGGAUGGCCAAAUAAAAAUAAAAUAGUGUGCUCAGAAGCAUCUCUUGAUCAAAAUUGAGUUGUGCGUGUUUUUUGGUAGUUGAAGGUAAUGUCUAUUACAGGGUUGCCAGCGACCAGGAAAACCGAGAAAAGUCAGGGGAAAAAAACCAACCAGGAAAAAUAGUCAGGGAAUUUCGGUGUUGGUCAGGGAUUUUUCUGAUUUUUCGUGGAAUUAGGCGAGGGCGGUCUCGGGCUCGCGUUGCGGGAUCAACUGACUACUGCGUUCGAUUGCGGAGGAUGGUGGAACUGCUAAAAAUUUAAAUAGUCGAAAAUAGCUCUCAUUUUCACUUUAACAGACUGCGUCAGAUCCGUACUUAAAAGUCAGGGAAUGGAAAAAAAUAAUUUGGCUGGCAACCUGCUUAAUAGCAGGGUAUUCUAAUGAAUACCAAGCGAUUUUGUCUGGAAGUCAUUUGACGCGGAGAAAACAGCAAAUGGAAUAAUUGCAUUUUUUCGUUUAGAGGGGACGCGGGCUAAAUGAGACCUUCCGUCUUUUUAAGCCCAACUGCUGGCCUCAAUUUAGCUCAACUGAGCUGGAAAUUUCAGAAGACGUUCAUGAAUGUGUGAGACAAACACUUGGAAAUUUUGAAGGUAUUCGGAGCACUCUGUAGGUCUGAGUAAAAUCCAGAACUUCAAACUCGUUUCUACCGAUAUAUAAAAACUGCACUUAUGCUCCUUGUCCUCCAAGCCCCUUAAUUGAGUUUUUACUUGCCUCAUAUUACUAUGUAGAGUUUCAGCAUCAGUUUUUAUGAUUGUUGGAAGCAUGAUAUGCUUCAAAGCCCUUGAUUUGGAACAUUGCAGUGCCUUCAUUUAUCAAGUAUCCAAAGGCUGCUUUUCAAGAAGGGCCACUCUUUGUAGAAACGAUGUACCAGCUUUGCAAAUGUUGCUCAAAUUGUGCAUCUUUGAGUUUACUUUGUAGCGAAUGAAACAAAUUUUUAGGCAAAUGAUUCUUAUUGGAUAAUAUGCAAACACAGAAGAUUUUGGGGGGAAAUUUUGUCAUCCUGUGGAUGAUGGAAUGUCUCUCAUCUGCGCUAUUUCAGUAUUACUACGGAAAAUUUAUUUUUUCAUGGGAGAACCGUCACACGAAGUCUAAAAAUUUUAAUGGUUUUUCUCACAGGUGUAAAGAAAAAUCAAUGGUAACGGAUUUCAGGCAAAUUUGUAAGACUGGUCUCCUAAAAAAAUAAAAUGUAGGUAAUAAAUACUGAAAUAAUGCAAUACAUUCCUCCAUGGAGGAGACAACAAAUUAUGCACUAACUCCCCGAAGCUGAAUCUCAAGAGCAUUAUAAACCCUAUAUGUUGUUACUACAGACAAUGACUCGAUUAUCAUGAAUCUUUACACUACAAUUUACAUUUAUUUUUCAGUUCCUGCCACAUGCCUGGAAAAGGAGGAGAACAUAAUCAUUUAUCCAUCUGUACAUGCAUUACUAACCCUCUCAUAUUUCAUCGGAAAAGCAGCAUAUGCAGCAGACUUCAUGGUUUAGCAGCCCUGCAAUCCUUCCUCAUCACACAAUUUUGUCGGAAGUUAUAGCUGUCAAUAUUUUAUACCCAAAUGGAAUUAACUGCGAUCAACUUUUUUAAAACUGAUAAUUUGUUUGAAGUAAGUAAGUCAUUCAUUACAAGACAAUGGCCCACUGGACAUGGUGCGAAUUCAGGCAUUCUGAUUCUUUUGUCCUGAUCAAAACCGUAACCGUAAACCAAAAUCGUUAAUAUCUUAGUUAGGAGUUGAUUUUAGUAAUUUUCUUUGUGCAGAUAGUGUUUAACGCGGAAUUUUGGUUAGGAAUCAUGUAUCAGAUGACUUAAAUUUGCACCUACUCUCGUGGCCCAUCAAUUUGAUAUAAUACUCACUUUUCCUUUUUCGCCCGAUUUGAAUGAAAAAGGAAAAGUGAGUAUUAUACUGAUACAACCCGAUAAAGGAGGAAAAAGAAAGAUAGCCCAUCAAUUUAUUUCGUUUUUUCUUGUACCUUUUUCCCCUCCAUCUUUGUGAUACAAAGAUUUUUUUUACAAUGCUCUUUUAAAUUGAAAAGAAAAAUGGUUCCAUGUUCCAAAGUUAAGUUUAUCGUUUAUUAUCUAUGGAUGUAAAUAUGAUGUAAAGAUAAAUUGUAUCAUAGUAAGAGCUCAAUAAAUUUUGUUUAUUUUUGUUAACUUAGCCUUCCUCUGUCAACUUAACAGUCUUUUUUUAACUUAAGAGACUAAAUAGUUAGUCACUUUGUCAAGUGUCUCCUUCUCCUUCGUAAAACAGUCAGAUCUUUUUUAAAAAAGCACUGCAGCUUCUUGGAGAGGACUUUAAGGAUUCAAAUGGCGAAAUUUUAAAAGGAGGCUAGUUUUAAAAAAUUGGUUUUGUAAGAUUUCCUAGUCGACAGGGGUUACAUGGACUAAAUUUUCGGGGUGAAAGUCGAAAGUUCUUCGUUCAGGCUAAAACUGAUGUAGUCCCCCUGGAAAUGAUGUACUGAGUCCGAUUUUAUAAUCGGAAAUGCUCCACGAGUCCGGUGGUGUGCGCGAUCGGCGAAAAACGCGCAUUUAAUGAAUUUUCACCAAACGAUCUAAAAUACUCGUUUUUGACCGUUUAUCGGUGCA